rfam:Lingula anatina scaffold644, whole genome shotgun sequence.
UUAAAGGCCCUUUUCAGGGCCAAUAAUCACACAAGAAAAGCUUUA